GAAAGGGGUGCGUGCGCGUUUGUGCUAAAACAAGAAAGGCAAGAAUCUCCGAGAACAAAACUCUGGUCCUCGCCUGGCCGGGGACCGCAGAAGACAGGGGCGGCAGCGCCAAGGCGGGUCAGGGGCCGGUCCAGCCAAGUUUGCUCCGGCUUAGAUAAACUUUCUGAUGGCAGUUUUUCCUGGUUGCAGCCUGGGUUCCUUGUAACAGGAUGGAGACGAGAGAUCUGGACUUCUGAACAUCUACCGGAAAAGAUAAAAUGUGCAAGCCCUUCAGAACGCUGGGGAGGUUGGGCUGAACUGCAGUGGGAGAGGAGAAGAGAUGCUGGCGUGAAGGGCUGGGGCAGAAGAUCAGGGGAAAAUUGCGGAUGAUCUGAAUGAUAGCAGUGACCACCAGCAACC
rnacentral:lncRNA from 1 species